GAUGAACGCUGGCGGCGUGCCUAAUACAUGCAAGUCGCGCGAACAGACGAGGAGUUUGCUCCUCUGACGUUAACGGCGGACGGGUGAGUAAAACGUGGAUAACCUACCUAUAAGACUGGGAUAACUUCGGGAAACCGGAGCUAAUACCGGAUAAUAUAUUGAACCGCAUGGUUCAAUAGUGAAAGAUGGCUUUGUCGCCACCUAUAGAUGCAUCCGCGCCGCAUUAGCCACUUGGACAGGUAACGGCUUACCAAGGCGACGGUGCGUACCCGACCUGAGCGGAUGAUCGACCACACUGGAACUGAGCCACGGACCAGACGCCUGCGCGAGGCGGCAGUAGAGUCGCCUCCACAAGGGGCAAGAGCGUGACAGAGCAACCCCCCGUGGUGGAUGAUGUGCUUCCGAUCGUAAAACGCUGUUAUUAGGGAAGAGCAAAUGUGUAAGUAGCUAUGCACGCCUUGACGAUAACGAGUCAGAAAGCCACCGCUAACUACGGG
rnacentral:rRNA from 1 species